rnacentral:rRNA from 1 species
UACGUAGGGUCCAAGCGUUAUCCGGAAUUACUGGGCGUAAAGAGUUCGUAGGCGGAUUUUUAAGUCGGAUGUUAAAUAUGCAGGCUCAACUUGCAUGCCGCAUCCGAUACUGGAAGUCUUGAGAAUGGAAGAGGUAAGCGGAAUUUCCGGUGGAGCGGUAAAAUGCGUAGAUAUCGGAAAGAACACCAAUGGCGAAGGCAGCUUACUGGGCCAUUUCUGACGCUGAGGAACGAAAGCGUGGGGAGCGAUCGGG